GCUACUCAGGAGUCCAAGGCAGGAGGAUCACUUGACCCCAGAAGUUUGAGCUAUGACAUCACUGCACCACUCUAGUAGCCUAGGAAACAGAGCAAGACCCUGUCUUAAAAAAAGAAAGCAUGUUGGCUUUGCCUCCAUUUCUGCUGCUGCCCCUAGUUCCUGGCAGCAGCCUGCAGGGAUGCUCACAGAUGAGGCUCAAAGUAGGGCUGGGCACUAGCUAUCUGAGUGCCACCUUGGAUCUGACA
rnacentral:snoRNA from 1 species